GCUACUUCAUGAGGAACGUAAUCUGGAUCUGGACCAGAGCAAAGCAAAGCGCCAUUAUCGUCAAAUAUCAAAAUAAACAUCGUUAUCAGUUUCAAGACAGUCCUUCAGAAGCCUGUGGAUGAUGAGGACAGAGACGACUCCACUGCUGCUGAGAUCAUGAGCGUCAUCACGAGCUGUAUGUGAAGCUUUACUGAAGAAGCAUCAGCAAACAUGCUGAGUGACCUGAUGAAGUUCAGGCUGGGACGGGAGGUGUCAGAAGAGAACCUGGAUCUCUUCAGAUUCCCUGUUGCACACCCACACACACACACACACGCGCUUCCCUGUCACUAUCAGAGCUACGCCGCACUCAACAUGGAUAUGGUGAUGAGCCGACAAUCUGUUCAUAGUGGAUCUGGUCUCAUUGAACUAGAAAGAGUCAACAGGGGGCAGUGUUUGUUCAACUUCUAAUACGCCUCUGUAAUAGAGGAAGUAUUAAGUUCUUCAACUGAGUAAAGGAUAGAGCCUAAGAUAACAAGAGCAAAAGAAAAAAGAUAAGGCCGUGUUAUUUGAACUUGUACAAUGUUUUAAACAUUUAUUUGCAAGUCGGCAUAUACUUGAAUGUUUUAAAACCGUAAAAACCUGUU